rnacentral:misc_RNA from 1 species
CUUUAUUAUAUUAAAAACACACUUGCACUAUAGAGCUUCUUGAAUCCGGGGGCGUCUAGUGAGUGACCCGAGAAUGGUGGAGCCGGUGAACCACGAGAACGAUGAGGAGCUUUCACUGUUGCCCCUCAACAGCAGUUGUGAUGGGUCGUGGAGGUUAAACUUCGAUGGAUAUCAGCUAUCUGCAGAGCAAAAGGAGAAAAAGCCGCCUCGGGGCCUCCACGAUUGCUAUGGGGUUUUAGGUCCAGAAGAUGAUGUAGCUGAGUACUAUCAGCAGCAGGUGGAAAUGCUCUUCCUUUGACAUUCCAGGAAUAAA